GGAUAGUGAGACAAGGAAUAUUCUCAAGUUAAAGCAUAUCAACUUUUAUCAAUCUAUAAGGGAUUUUAGGUCAGCCCACACAAGGGAUGACACAUAUGCUAGUGCCCGAUAUAGAGGGAUACACAUCUCUAAAAUAUUGAGGCAAAAAUUUAGAAAAGAAAGGAUCAUUCACAUAUCGACCAUAUACCAAACAUGGAUUGCUAAAACUCUAUGGGAGAAACAAGUAUGUAUACACAAACAAACUACCGGGAAUGUAU
rnacentral:lncRNA from 1 species